CAUCUUCUCAGAGUUACAGGACAACCUGGAACAUCUACUAUACAUUCUUAAUCAGCAUGAUUAUUUUAUUCCAGAUGUCUACCAAGGAGUGACCAGGAAAAUAAGAAACCAUGAGGUACGUCUGGAGGUGAUGGCCCACACCUUUAAUUCCAGCACUCAGGAGGCAGAGGCAUGCAGCUCUCUGUGAGUUUAAGCCUAACCUUGUAUACAGAGCGUGUUCCAGGACAGCCAGUACAUUUAUACAGAAAAACGUUAACUCGAAAAGAAAAAAAGAAAAAAGAAAAAAUGUAGUCACGAGGUACAAAGAAGACAGAAGAAAGUCAAGUGCCUUGGGCCCACCUCCAAUCCUUUCUGACUGUAGCCAAGCACCAGGCCCGGUACUCUACCUCUGAAUGGCUCUUCAUUUCAUUCACGCACAGAUCAAGAUCUCCCAUUUUCAAGGCCACUGCUGCCUUGGUCAAGGUCACUAAGACUGGUGAAGAUUCGUGUGCAUCCAGCUUCUUUAAAUAAUGCAAGGCAGUUAAAGGAUCAACAUUCUUCAUAGAGGGACUACAGAGGACAUGAGGCAGCUGCUUCGGCUCAGCCACGUGAAAUAUCUGAGCCACUUUUGCUGCUAGUUCCUUUGACACGUGUGAACAAAGAAUAAAAGGUUAGCCAAUAGGAAGCAGUAUUAUCAGAAAAAAGGAAUGUAUAUAUGCAAAGUCAAUAGAUAAACAAUGUAAGUUAUGAUUUAGAAACAGUGUUCAGGAGACAGUUUGGGAAACUAGAAAUGAGAUGACAUGGUCUGUCUGCAGAGAUGCAAUAAAAAAACAAUCAGGGAAAAAUAUAUACCAAUUUGUGACCAACUUUUCUAAUUUCAAUCACAUAGGAGAAAAUGUUAUUAUAUUCAAAAGUCUACAAUUCAAAAACUACAACUUAGUUCAAAAAGAUGCUGUAAUGUAAUUCAAAAGAAAUUUUACUUCCCUUGAAAUCUCCAAGUAUAUACUAUUGCAAUAUCCAACUGUGCUUAAAACACAGAAAGGAUUAAAAAUAAUGUAUAGUAAUGUUUUGGACACUUGAAAAAUAAGUCAAAUAGAGUUAAAAAAAAAAAGGAAGGCAGCUACUUGAUUCUAUCUUUCACUUCG